rnacentral:rRNA from 1 species
AUGGAUGUGGUAUGCUGGAACGUGAGGGGUAUAAACAGCCCUGUCAAAAAGAAGGCGUUGAGGGAGUUCGUUGGUUCAUUGCGUGUGGCAAUCGUUUGUAUCAUGGAGUCUAAACUGGAUCAUGUUGACCAGUACAUUAUCCUGCAAUGCUUAGGUCCAUCUUACGAUGGUUUUGCGUACCUACCGGCUUCUAAGACUAGAGGAGGGAUCUUGGUAGGAUGGGACUCAUCACGUGUCUAG